UACGAAGGGGGCUAGCGUUGUUCGGAAUUACUGGGCGUAAAGCGCGCGCAGGCGGUCUUCCAAGUCAGUGGUGAAAGCCUGGAGCUCAACUCCAGAACUGCCAUUGAAACUGUUGGACUUGAGUACGAGAGAGGUGAGUGGAAUUCCCAGUGUAGAGGUGAAAUUCGUAGAUAUUCGCAAGAACACCAGUGGCGAAGGCGGCUCACUGGCCCGAUACUGACGCUGAGGCACGAAAGCGUGGGGAGCAAACAGG
rnacentral:rRNA from 1 species